rnacentral:rRNA from 1 species
UUAAGCGACUAAGCGUACACGGUGGAUGCCCUGGCAGUCAGAGGCGAUGAAGGGCGUGCUAAUCUGCGAUAAGCGCCGGUAAGGUGAUAUGAACCGUUAUAACCGGCGAUACCCGAAUGGGGAAACCCAGUGUGAUUCGUCACACUAUCAUUAACUGAAUCCAUAGGUUAAUGAGGCGAACCGGGGGAACUGAAACAUCUAAGUACCCCGAGGAAAAGAAAUCAACCGAGAUUCCCCCAGUAGCGGCGAGCGAACGGGGAGGAGCCCAGAGCCUGAAUCAGCAUGUGUGUUAGUGGAAGCGUCUGGAAAGGUGCGCGAUACAGGGUGACAGCCCCGUACACAAAAGCGCAUGUGCUGUGAGCUCGAUGAGUAGGGCGGGACACGUGGUAUCCUGUCUGAAUAUGGGGGGACCAUCCUCCAAGGCUAAAUACUCCUGACUGACCGAUAGUGAACCAGUACCGUGAGGGAAAGGCGAAAAGAACCCCGGCGAGGGGAGUGAAAAAGAACCUGAAACCGUGUACGUACAAGCAGUGGGAGCACAGGUUUACCUGUGUGACUGCGUACCUUUUGUAUAAUGGGUCAGCGACUUAUAUUCUGUAGCAAGGUUAACCGAAUAGGGGAGCCGGAGGGAAACCGAGUCUUAAUUGGGCGUUAAGUUGCAGGGUAUAGACCCGAAACCCGGUGAUCUAGCCAUGGGCAGGUUGAAGGUUGGGUAACACUAACUGGAGGACCGAACCGACUAAUGUUGAAAAAUUAGCGGAUGACCUGUGGCUGGGGGUGAAAGGCCAAUCAAACCGGGAGAUAGCUGGUUCUCCCCGAAAGCUAUUUAGGUAGCGCCUCGUGAAUUCAUCUCCGGGGGUAGAGCACUGUUUCGGCUAGGGGGCCAUCCCGGCUUACCAACCCGAUGCAAACUGCGAAUACCGGAGAAUGUUAUCACGGGAGACACACGGCGGGUGCUAACGUCCGUCGUGAAGAGGGAAACAACCCAGACCGCCAGCUAAGGUCCCAAAGUCAUGGUUAAGUGGGAAACGAUGUGGGAAGGCCCAGACAGCCAGGAUGUUGGCUUAGAAGCAGCCAUCAUUUAAAGAAAGCGUAAUAGCUCACUGGUCGAGUCGGCCUGCGCGGAAGAUGUAACGGGGCUAAACCAUGCACCGAAGCUGCGGCAGCGAACGUAUCACUUAAAGCGAUUCAGCGGGUUACGAUUGACGGAGCGAAGCGACGUCAAAGCGUAUACAAAGUCGAGUCGGUUUAAGGAUACGUUCGUUGGGUAGGGGAGCGUUCUGUAAGCCCGUGAAGGUGGCCUGUGAGGGUUGCUGGAGGUAUCAGAAGUGCGAAUGCUGACAUAAGUAACGAUAAAGCGGGUGAAAAGCCCGCUCGCCGGAAGACCAAGGGUUCCUGUCCAACGUUAAUCGGGGCAGGGUGAGUCGACCCCUAAGGCGAGGCCGAAAGGCGUAGUCGAUGGGAAACGGGUUAAUAUUCCCGUACUUGGUGUUACUGCGAAGGGGGGACGGAGAAGGCUAUGUUGGCCGGGCGACGGUUGUCCCGGUUUAAGCGUGUAGGUGUGUGUUCCAGGUAAAUCCGGUUCACUUUAACACUGAGGCGUGACGACGAGGCACUACGGUGCUGAAGCAACAAAUGCCCUGCUUCCAGGAAAAGCCUCUAAGCAUCAGGUAACACGAAAUCGUACCCCAAACCGACACAGGUGGUCAGGUAGAGAAUACCAAGGCGCUUGAGAGAACUCGGGUGAAGGAACUAGGCAAAAUGGUGCCGUAACUUCGGGAGAAGGCACGCUGACACGUAGGUGAAGUGAUUUACUCAUGGAGCUGAAGUCAGUCGAAGAUACCAGCUGGCUGCAACUGUUUAUUAAAAACACAGCACUGUGCAAACACGAAAGUGGACGUAUACGGUGUGACGCCUGCCCGGUGCCGGAAGGUUAAUUGAUGGGGUCAGCGCAAGCGAAGCUCCUGAUCGAAGCCCCGGUAAACGGCGGCCGUAACUAUAACGGUCCUAAGGUAGCGAAAUUCCUUGUCGGGUAAGUUCCGACCUGCACGAAUGGCGUAAUGAUGGCCAGGCUGUCUCCACCCGAGACUCAGUGAAAUUGAACUCGCUGUGAAGAUGCAGUGUACCCGCGGCAAGACGGAAAGACCCCGUGAACCUUUACUAUAGCUUGACACUGAACAUUGAGCCUUGAUGUGUAGGAUAGGUGGGAGGCUUUGAAGUGUGGACGCCAGUCUGCAUGGAGCCGACCUUGAAAUACCACCCUUUAAUGUUUGAUGUUCUAACGUGGACCCGUAAUCCGGGUUGCGGACAGUGUCUGGUGGGUAGUUUGACUGGGGCGGUCUCCUCCUAAAGAGUAACGGAGGAGCACGAAGGUUGGCUAAUCCUGGUCGGACAUCAGGAGGUUAGUGCAAUGGCAUAAGCCAGCUUGACUGCGAGCGUGACGGCGCGAGCAGGUGCGAAAGCAGGUCAUAGUGAUCCGGUGGUUCUGAAUGGAAGGGCCAUCGCUCAACGGAUAAAAGGUACUCCGGGGAUAACAGGCUGAUACCGCCCAAGAGUUCAUAUCGACGGCGGUGUUUGGCACCUCGAUGUCGGCUCAUCACAUCCUGGGGCUGAAGUAGGUCCCAAGGGUAUGGCUGUUCGCCAUUUAAAGUGGUACGCGAGCUGGGUUUAGAACGUCGUGAGACAGUUCGGUCCCUAUCUGCCGUGGGCGCUGGAGAACUGAGGGGGGCUGCUCCUAGUACGAGAGGACCGGAGUGGACGCAUCACUGGUGUUCGGGUUGUCAUGCCAAUGGCACUGCCCGGUAGCUAAAUGCGGAAGAGAUAAGUGCUGAAAGCAUCUAAGCACGAAACUUGCCCCGAGAUGAGUUCUCCCUGAGACUUAGAGUCUCCUGAAGGAACGUUGAAGACGACGACGUUGAUAGGCCGGGUGUGUAAGCGCAGCGAUGCGUUGAGCUAACCGGUACUAAUGAACCGUGAGGCUUAACCUU